ACUUCUGUCCAUAUAAUGAAUUUAAUUUACCUCCCCUGCUCUGAUGCAUUUGUUUGGAAGGAGAGUGCGGCCAGCCAACGAGACCGUGAAGAAAGGCUGCGGAUCGUGAAAGAAAGGCAGAAUGAAGAACGACAAAAGAAACUUGAAGAACUCAAGCAGCAGGCUCUGGCCGCCCAGAAGUUCCGGGAGCAGAAGGAGGAGGAGAGGCGGCGACGGAUGGAAGAGCUGCGACUGCGGGACUCUGACCGGCGGUUGCAGGUUGAGGAGCGAAAACGCCAAAUCUGGGAGGCAGAGCGGGAUCGGCGUGAGGCAAUCCUAAGAAAAAACCAAGAGCGUGAAGCGAGGAUAGAAACCAAAAGGAGAAAUGAACGUAGUUCUAUUGUGUUUGCAUUUGGCAGUUCUACACCGAGGAUGCUGGAACCUGCAGAUACUGGUGGAUCGUACUGGGCAACUAGAAGGGCAACAUCAACCAGUAACGUGAUGAUGCUGUCCAUGUCAGCUGCCCCAGGACCUCUGACAAGGCGCAGUUCAGAGCGAGAACUUGAUGGAAGCAAGAAACGUGCUACAUCCGCUGGAGGCAUCAACCGGACUAAGCAGCCAGAUGGACGCACCAGUAUAUAUGAUGUAUUUCAGUGGGACAGCACUGUAGCAGGGGGGUCCACCCCUCUGUCCCCUGUUGUCCCCCCCUCCUUAUCCCUCGGCGGGGAUGAAGGUGAUGGGGAGGAGAGUGGAACAGUCACACCAGUACCGACCGCCGGAACACCGUCCAGCCGUGCUGCCCGGCGCAAGACUGACCUAGUACCCACGCUGCCAUCUCCGCGUGACCUCACCCCCCGCCCUAUGCGCUCCCCAGGUAGAGCUUACUCCAUGUCGCGUCUAGACGUACUGGCUCAGCCACGCAAACCCCGUGCUCCCGUGGUGGAGGAGCCGCGUGACCCCUCACUGUCCCGCAGUAUGACGCAUCUGGCCGCUAGGCCACUGCGUCGGGUCGACAUGUCCCGCAGCUUGGUGCACCUAUCAGGGCAGCCUGUACCUCCACCACGCGCCACUCGUGCCGAGCGGCUGCGGCGCAAGGCUGCAGCAGUGCGCGCCGAGUCGGUGCCCACCUCACCAGGGCUGCGGUCAGGUGAGGUGACACCGUCUCGGCCACAGAGCUCACUCAGCCAGCACAGUGUGAGUGUGUGUAGUGGGGCGGCCAUGUCCAGCAGUGUACACGCCGCCUUCAAGCCCCGGGCCGCCCCCCGUCGUCCCCGCCCCUACAGCAUCGCAGUCACCGGUGUCUCCUCGGAGAGUAGCGCCGCCACUACACCCACUAGACACAGUUUAAGUGCCGAGCACCGUAAUGCCAAAUCUCCGGCUACAGCUCCGGACAAAGACAAACCACCUCUGCCUAAAGUUCAUGCUACAAAGAAACCGGCCACUCCUAAACCAGAAGCACCCAAGAAGCCAACAGACAAGAUUAAAUCAUCAAAGAGUUCCGCAAGCCCGACACCGAAAGCCACACCGUUACAAUCGCCUGGGCCAGAGUCUACGAUUGUGUCAGAGACUGUGGUGACCACCUCAGAAUCGGAGACUGCAGGAAGCACUGUCACGUCAGAAACAACAGUGAGCACCUCGGUCGUAGAGACUGUCAACUCAGACAGUGGCGAGAGUGUAACUGUCACUACGGAGUCGACAGUGGGUGUGACAGUGGUGGAGACAAGUGUGCCCCAGCCCACCCCCACCAGUGCCCCACCACAGACUCAAGAAGUGGAGGCUCCUGUCGCCCAACUGGACACAAUACCCCAGGAGCCUGCUACCGACUUGGCCGAGUGUGACAUGACAGCCUCAAUGUUAGCUAAGACCAGAAUCACAACGGAGGAGGAGGCUAAGGCUGCUCUGGCCGAGAGGCGGAGGUUAGCCCGAGAGCAGGCAGAGAGAGAGGCAGAACUCGAAAGACAAAGACUUGAGGCUGAAAGAUUAGCAGAAGAACAGCGACUGAGGGAAGAAGAAGAGGAACAGAAGAGGAUGGAGGAGGAGCAGCUCAGGCUGCUAGAAGAGGCGAGACAGGCAGAGCAGGAACGGCUGAGACAGGCGAUUGAGGAAGCACAAAAAAGAGAAGAAGAAGAAAGGCUGCAACGAGAAGAAGAAGCAAGGCAAAAGGUUGAAAAAGAAGAGGCGGAAAGGAAAGCGAGAGAAGAAGCAGAAAAGCAACGACAAGAAAUGGAGAUUAGAUUAAAGAAAGAGGAAGAAGACAGGUUAGCGAGACGCAAGAGAGUAGAAGCAAUCAUGUCACGUACAAGGGGCAAGGGCUCUACGCCUAAUAGUACACCAUCUAAGGAAGAUGGAGAUGACAGUCCGGGAGAGGAGGGGAGCAGACCAGAGCCCCGGAGGCUCACGGACCAGGAGCAGUUCCUACAUUCUGAGCGGAGCCACUCAGCCGCCAACACCACCACUGCCCGCCAGAACGGCCAUCAGAACGGUGUUGACAAUGUUGUAUGAUGAGUGGCUCACGUCCCUCGGCCCGGCCCGGGCACCAAGACAGCACACAUAGUGGAGCAGAAGAAUGUAACUAACAACUUGCUGGACCUGAGUAUAGAGAGUGUUGGGGUGACUGAGACACAGAUCCUGGCUCCCACCACCACUACGCCGACCAACGGCAAGCUGGUGAAUGAGGACAAUGUUAACUUC
rnacentral:misc_RNA from 1 species